rnacentral:lncRNA from 1 species
CGCGAAACGUGGCAGGAGAAAGCGAAAGGGCGCGCGGGGCCGAAAUCCCCGGGCUGGAGGCGAGGCUUGACGCGCCCUGGGCAGCAGCCGGGCACCUGCCGCCGGGAGGUGUGCUCGGGCAUCGGGGCGGCGUUGAGAGCGCCGCAGUCUUGGGACUCUGCGUGGCGUCGGAAGAAGCCAACACCCGCGGGAUGAGAAGAAUAGCAACACAACCGGUCCUCCAGCCGCGCGUUCAUCCCUGCUUCGAACCCGGGCGCGCGGAGGGUCGGGGGGUGGGGGUCACUCAAUAGGUGACUGCAGCCCCCGCGGGGCCUCCCGGCAGGGAAAAGCCUUCGGUGGGAAAGGAGCGCCCGCGCUCAGGGCAGAGAGGACUCGCACUUUGCCCAUGCUCAGAAGGCUAGUUGUUGUUCGCCCCGUCCGGGCCUCGAGGGCCGGUCUGGCCGGGUGGCCAGCGCUGCCUGCAGCCGGACCGAACUGAGCCUGCCAGCCUCCUCCCUCCGGGCCGGCCCGGGAGGUAGACCGCGGGGCGGGGCGGGGCUGGGCGCGGAAAGCCUCCCGGGCACUCCCGCCCAGCGCCACGCCUGUCGGCGAGCGUCUCCCGCCGCCGCCGCCGCCGCCGCCGCCGCCGCCUGGGCUGCCCGGAGCCGUCGAGGUGGCCGUGGCCAUGGACGGGCAGGCGGCGAUGGAGCCCUACGACUACAGCCGGAUCGUGGGGCCCCUUCAAGAACCGGACAGCCCCAGGACGCCGCGGCUGGACUCCGCCGGCUGUGCGACGCUCCACACCGGGCACCGGACCGCGGCGCAGCGGUACAAGGCGCGGCUCUGCCAGGCUGGCCUGGAACCCGAGAGCAUGGCCGAUUACCUGAUCAGCGGCGGCACCGGCUACGUCCCCGAGGAUGGGCUGACGGCGCAGCAGCUGUUCGCCGUGGCCGACGGGCUGACCUACAAGUAAGCGGCGGGCGCGGGGCGCGGGGAGGGCGGCCCCCAGCCCGGGAGGAAGGGGCGGCGCGCGGGGCUCUGCGGAGCGAGGCGCAUCUCUGCCCGGCCGGGGAAGCCCCCCGGCCGGCCCGGGCCUUGUU